rnacentral:rRNA from 1 species
GCAAGACAACUAGCCUUACCACACAACCAAAGAACAACAUAACACAAAAACAACAAACCAAAACUAAACCAUUCUUCCCCCUGAGUAUAGGCGAUAGAAAAGGCAAACAUUAGAGCUACAAAAAGAGUACCGCAAGGGAAAGUUGAAAGAGAAAUGAAAUAAACCAUAAUAAGCAAUAAAAAGCAGAGAUUGACCCUCGUACCUUUUGCAUCAUGAUUUAACAAGUACCCCUCAGGCAAAGAGACCUUUAGUCUGAAGCCCCGAAACCAGACGAGCUACUUCGAGGCAGUUUUACGGAACGAACCCGUCUCUGUGGCAAAAGAGUGGGAAGACCCCCAAGUAGAGGUGACAAGCCUAACGAGCCUGGUGAUAGCUGGUUGCUUAAGAAAAGAAUAUUAGUUCAGCCCUAAAUUAUACUAAAAACCCAACAACCAAAGGAUUAAAGUAGGACUUAGGAGUUAGUCAACAGGGGUACAGCCCUUUUGAAAAAGAACACAACCUUACACAGGAGGCCAAGGAUCAUAAACCACAAGGACUUCUGCCUACGUGGGCCUAAAAGCAGCCACCCGAAAAGAAAGCGUUAAAGCUCAGGCAGAUAUUAACCCAAUAAUACAGAUAAUAAAUCCACACCCCCUAAUAAUAUUAAGCCGCCCUAUGCCCCCAUAGAAGUGACAAUGUUAAAAUUAGUAAUAAGAGAACAUACUUCUCUCCCAGCACAAGUGUAAGUCAGAUCGGACCAACCACUGACAUAUAAACAGACCAAUGAAUGAAGGAAGAACAAAAACCAUAAAAUAAACAAGAAAAUAAUGUACAACAGACUGUUAACCCAACACAGGAGUGCCACAAGGAAAGACUUAAAGGAGAAGAAGGAACUCGGCAAACACAAACCCCGCCUGUUUACCAAAAACAUCGCCUCUUGCCAACCAAUGGAAGUAUUAGAGGUCCCGCCUGCCCUGUGACCAUAGUGUUUAACGGCCGCGGUAUCCUGACCGUGCGAAGGUAGCGUAAUCACUUGUCUUUUAAAUGAAGACCUGUAUGAAUGGCAUAACGAGGGUUUAACUGUCUCCUUCCCCAAGUCAAUGAAAUUGAUCUGUCCGUGCAGAAGCGGACAUAAUUACAUAAGACGAGAAGACCCUAUGGAGCUUUAGGCAAAAGAUCAUGCAUGUAAAGAAAGCACAAUAAACCAAGAGUAACUAAAAAGCAGCAAAACUAAAGUACCAAUGAUCCAAAUGCCUUCGGUUGGGGCGACCAUGGGGGAAAAUAAAGCCCCCAAGUGGAAAGGAGAAAAUCCUAAACCAAGAAGGACACUUCUAAGUAACAGAAUAUCUGACCAUCAAUGACCCAGACAACUAAGUCUGAUCAACGAACCAAGUUACCCUAGGGAUAACAGCGCAAUCCUUUCCCAGAGUCCAUAUCGACGAAAGGGUUUACGACCUCGAUGUUGGAUCAGGACAUCCUAAUGGUGCAGAAGCUAUUAAGGGUUCGUUUGUUCAACGAUUAACAGUCCUACGUGAUCUGAGUUCAGACCGGAGUAAUCCAGGUCGGUUUCUAUCUAUGACUACACUUCUUCCCAGUACGAAAGGACCGGAAAAAGGGGGCCAAUAUUAAAAACAAGCCCUAUCUCUACCUAUUGAAGACAAAUAAAAUAGAUAAAGAGAAGUACACUACAGCCAGAAAUCAUGGCAU